AUACGGAGGAUCCGAGCGUUAUCCGGAUUUAUUGGGUUUAAAGGGAGCGCAGGCGGAGAUGCAAGCGUGACGUCAAAUUUCGGGGCUCAACCCCGUCUCGCGUCGCGAACUGCGUCCCUUGGUUGCGGGAAGGGGAGGCGGAACUCGUGGUGUGGCGGGGGAAUGCAUAGAUAACACGAAGAACUCCGAUCGCGAAGGCAGCCUUCCGGCCCGUCAACGACGCUCAUGCUCGAAGGUGCGGGUAUCAAACAGGAUUAGAUACCCUGGUAGUCCGCACAGUAAACGAUGGACACCCGCGGUUUGGCCUGUAUGGCUGAGCCGCCAAGCGAAAGCGUUAAGUGUCCCACCUGGGGAGUACGCCGGCAACGGUGAAACUCAAAUGAAUUGACGGGG
rnacentral:rRNA from 1 species